UACGAAGGGGGCUAGCGUUGCUCGGAAUUACUGGGCGUAAAGCGCACGUAGGCGGUCUUUUAAGUCGGGGGUGAAAUCCUGGAGCUCAACUCCAGAACUGCCUUCGAUACUGGAAGACUUGAGUCCGGGAAAGGGUGAGUGGAACUGCGAGUGUAGAGGUGAAAUUCGUAGAUAUUCGCAAGAACACCAGUGGCGAAGGCGGCUCACUGGCCCGGUACUGACGCUGAGGUGCGAAAGCGUGGGGAGCAAACAGG
rnacentral:rRNA from 1 species